UAGGGAAUAUUGCGCAAUGGACGAAAGUCUGACGCAGCGACGCCGCGUGAGCGAUGAAAGCCGUAAGGUUGUAAAGCUCUGUCAAGAGGGAAGAAAGAGAUAUAUGUUAACAGCGUAUAUUUCAUGACGGUACCUUUGGAGGAAGCCCCGGCUAACUACGUGCCAGCAGCCGCGGUAAUACGUAGGGGGCGAGCGUUGUCCGGAAUCAUUGGGCGUAAAGGGCGCGUAGGCGGUUAGUUAAGUCAGGGGUGAAAUCAUCGGGCUCAACUCGAUGGCUGCCUUUGAAACUGGCUGACUGGAGUGCGGGAGAGGAAAGCGGAAUUCCUGGUGUAGUGGUGAAAUGCGUAGAUAUCAGGAAGAACACCAAUGGCGAAGGCAGCUUUCUGGACCGUAACUGACGCUAAUUCGCGAAAGCGUGGGGAGCAAACA
rnacentral:rRNA from 1 species